UACGUAGGGCGCAAGCGUUGUCCGGAAUUAUUGGGCGUAAAGAGCUCGUAGGCGGUCUGUCGCGUCGGAUGUGAAAGCCCGGGGCUUAACCCCGGGUCUGCAUUCGAUACGGGCAGACUAGAGUGUGGUAGGGGAGAUCGGAAUUCCUGGUGUAGCGGUGAAAUGCGCAGAUAUCAGGAGGAACACCGGUGGCGAAGGCGGAUCUCUGGGCCAUUACUGACGCUGAGGAGCGAAAGCGUGGGGAGCGAACAGG
rnacentral:rRNA from 2 species